rnacentral:tRNA from 1 species
GGUUAAGACACCGCCCUUUCACGGCGGUAACAUGGGUUCAAAUCCCGUACGGGUCA